rnacentral:lncRNA from 1 species
UAGAGAGUCACUGGGACAAACCCCCAGCUGAAUCGAACUGUCUGAAAGAAUACUGAAUCAUCUAAACUGAUAAGUUGAAAAUAAACUGAAUGACUAAGUCUUCGAUCUAUGAGGACUCACCAACUGUCGGAUGAAGAUGGAGAUGCUCAAAAAUCACUCACGCUGCUAAAAUUGAGCACCUGAACCUACAUUAUGAGACAAUGUAUCACAUAGACGUAUAUGUGGAUUAGUACUUUGAGGAUGUACUGAGUAUAUAAGGGUGAAUGCAUAAGUAAAACAUAAUCUCAACAUUUAUAUCAAUUUGCAAAAGAAUGCAUGCUAAAUGUAAAUGACUCACAUAAGCUGGAAUAUCUGAAAGCUGAAAAUCAUAAUUCAUGAAUAGUAAAUCGUACUUUAUAAAUCUAGUGAGUCAUACCAUUUAGUUCUAGAAGUUGUACUAGUGAUCUGUCUAUAAAUCAUGCUGCCUAAUUGUAGAAAGGACUCACUUUUAUAUCUGAGAUCUAAAAGUUGAAGUUUGUAGCUAAUAUCUUUCUGUAAAGCAUAAUCUAAAUAAAGUUGUGAGCCUUUACACUUGAUUUUCUAAAAGCUUUUCUUUACUAGUAGAGAAUUCUCUUAAAAAUUGUUCUCCAAGGAAAACAUACUUUAUCUGAAGAAAAUUAUUUUGGAAACUGUUCCGUAAGUCCUUACUGAUAGGGAGGUUUUCUAACCGACAUAAACCAUGUGAGCUAACAUGGAGUCCAAUGUUUUGUUCCCCUGUGGAAAAAACCUCAUGAUGGGGAGAGGUGUCAUACUCUUGCCAAGGAGUAUAACCUGAGCUAAGUGAUCACAUCUGUAACUGUCACUCGUAUUGGAAUGAGAAUAAUCUCAUAAUUUGUACCUACAUUGGCUACGUAGUUCUGUGGAAGAUAGGACACGCUAAUCCCACACUUUUCGCUCGGUGCUAAAUACUACUCUCUUUAAAUCUGUAUACUCAUUCUGUUGGAAAUCCACUUUAAAAUCUAGUAUAAUGGUUUAUUACGAAACCAAUUAUGCUUUUAUCUGAGUCGUUCUGUAAUUAAAGCUAAUCUGAAUUUUGUAAUCUGUAAUGAAUAAGUAAAGUGGAUUCCAAAUCUUAUUUGAGGAUCAAAAGAUCAAAACUUUACUGAAAAUCUGUAAUUAAUCUGAUCAUAAGAUGCUUUAAGCAUCAUCUUUUUUGAAAUAUCAACAUAGAAAUGUGGGCUUAAUAAUUUUGAUUUAACAUGCCACCGCAAUGCGCCACUCUCGCGAUGGCUCACUGGAAACUGACAACUGGGAACUAGAAGUUCAACGCGACAUGGAGCUAUCGCGGUACUUUAUGGAAAUGCCAUUUAGGCCUUCAUCGCGACACGGUACCUUCGCGUUGGCCUAUUUGAAAUGGACAACUGGGAAAUUGGACCUCUCCGCGAUGCGAGCUUAUCGCGGAGGUCCAUUGAAAAUUGACAAAUGGAAAUUUAACCUUCACCGCGACGCGGUGAUUGCUCAGGUGACACACUGCAUUACUAAAAAUGCCAUUAUUCCUCAACCGAGUAUCGGAUUGGGCGAAAUUGAUAUCGAUGAAAAGUUUGUUCAAUUAUCUACACAAUGGAAAGUCAAAAUCUAAAAAAUUUCACAUGUAACAAAAAUUAUUCAUUUUUUAAGCUAAUCCUUGACAUUCUAGGAGCGAAAUUAAGCUAGGAAAAGUACGGGGUAUUACAGAUAGCUUAUAGCCUCUUUUAAGAUAUUGCUAAUUUAGGAGCAGAUCAAGGCAUACAUAUGGUUGUAGAGAAAUUUUCUCAAACAUAUAUUAUAAUCAUAAUAAGCGUGUGAAAAUAUUAUCACUUUUGAUAAUUAUUAACAUAUUGUCCCUCUACGUUUAUAUUCGUACGUUGAAUCACUUGUCUUCUUUUAGACAUAUUAAGCAUUGCUACCACAUUCAUUUCAGGGAAUGGAACAUAUUCAAUAAAACAUGUUUCUUUCAUGACUUUUCACAAAAGACACAUUAUUUUGCCUUAGCCAUCAUUAUAUCAACAAUAUGGUACUUUGAGAUUCAAACUCGAUGUCUUAUCCAUAUAAAGGUGUCUUAGGCCACAAAUCGAUGGGGUUUGACCAAAAAAUCUUAUUUUCAUAGUGUAUGCAUUCAUAUCGUGCUUUUGGGAGGAUGACCAUCUUCAUGUAGUCAAAUAUUUAUUUUAGGCUAUUCCACAAAACAGGUGGAUCUUUAGUAGUAACGUGUUCAAUUUUCAAAAUUUCGUCAAGAUGAUGACGCAAGAAAAUCAUAACCUUAGCACGAUUUUGAUUAGAUGAUCUGUUUUCUUUCUUUAUGAAGUCUGCAAGACUCAUAGCAUCUAAGUGGAUUUCAGCAUCCAAUACCCAUGAGAAGUAGUUCUUGCUUGAGGCAAUGAACUCAAGUUUUGUAAAACUAUUAGUCAUAUGAAAAGAAAUAAAAUAAUACCUUAGCCUUCAAAUUUAAGACGACAGAGUCUCAUGCUGAUAACGUUUUAUAAAAUAACAAAUAAUAAAGAAGAAGAAUACAGAGAAUGUAGAGUAAUUCUUAUUUUUCUUGAGAAUGAGAGAUCAUAAAAUUGACUAAAAGACAGAUACUUCAAAUUCUGAUAGAUAUGAAUUAGAUCUUGAUAGAUCUUAUCUAUAAUUUUUUAUAGACAUUCGCUAUAAUGGAAAUACAUUUAUAACAGUAAAAUUUUUGUAAAUUUAUGAAAUUAUCUUUUUUAGAUGUAACCAAAAAAAUAAAAUAAAGAAUUAUCUUUAAAAUUAGGUAGGAUCAAUAAAAACAAAAAAGAGUUGUUUCGUUAUAUAGUUACUAAAUAAGAAAAAAGUGAUAUUUCUUUUGGAACGAAUCCAAAAGAAAAAUAUAUCACGUAAAAUGUAACUAAUAGCGUGUAAAAUAAUGUUUGGCUGAAUAUGGAAUAUCAUAUAAUAUUAUAUUAGUUCAACAUUUUAACUUAUAAAUAUUAAUAUUAUAGAAGGAAGUUAGAAGAAAAGAUUAGCAUAUCAAUAAAUAGUUGAAAAGUUAAUUUGAAAGGAAAUAUAGUAAAUUUGAAAGUGUUGACUAAUAGAUUUGUUGUAAGCCCCUAGGCAGUGGCAGUUUGGCAAAUUGAGUGGUAGAUCGUUGAGUUAUAAAUCUUCUUUCAGUUUUGUAAUUCUCUAUUUGGUGAUUAAUAAAAUGUUGGUUAUAAAAAAAAAAACAAAUCUCCUAGAGGCUUCUCAAACUAUGAAUAUAAUUAGACAUUUUAAACAAAAUCUCCUGAAAAUUCACCUUUUAUUUUACAAGAGCAAGGUACGAUUGGGAAAACUAUCUAUCUAAAGGAAAAAGGCGUGGAAAGCUUUUGCGGUGAAGGAAACACAUCAACCUUUGCCUCAAUAAUUUUUGUGCACAAGUAAGUUGAUUAUCCAACGAAUUACGAAUUACGAAUUAGAUAUAGUUCAAUUCUAAAUUAAUUAUUAUUUAUUACAUUUCAAUCAAAUAUUAUCAAAUUAAAAUUUUUCAUGGACAUUACCGUGUCACCGACCAGUUGAACCUUUUUCACUUUAAUUUUGCAUCUUUUCCCUAUCUCGGUUUAAUGUUUGCUCUAAGAAAAGCAUUUCAUCAGUAAUUAGUGGGUUCUUUCUUUUCUAUCAAAAGAGAGAAUGAACUUUUGGAAACUUUAAAACAGAACAUGGGUACACAUGAUCUUUAAUAGCAGGAAGGUUUAUUUCAUUCAAAGACUCAAACUCAAAAUCUCUAAUAAAAAAUAAAAGAAUUUUAUUCAUCUCAUCACACCUUAAAGUCGAGCACUUGCCGUGGGUACACACAAUUGCCACAAAGAGCAAGGCGGAGCAAAGUAGGCCGAAGGAGUUCAUCAGAGCAUCAGUUGAUAAAAAAUUACAUUGUUGAUACAUGAUUAAUAUUAUUUUAUAAAUAUAGUAAAUGUUGAAAUCUCUUUAAUUUCUUUGAGUGUUUAUUUCUUUAUAUUUUAAAAUUCCUUAGUGAAAAUUUGGGUUUAAGUAACCACCAAAAAGCCACCUUUUGACGUAACAACAUCUGAAUUAUGCAAGAGAUUGGGUAAAAGUAUGGGAAAUCAUAUGCUUAAAGUUUGGGAUCAAAAAAUUAUAAGGCCAAAUCCAUCGGUGGUCCUCUAAACUUGGCAUGAUCUUUUACUUAGGUGUCUCAAGUGAACGAUUUUCAUUUUUAGCACCUCAAGUAGAUAUAAGUGUAUCAUUUUGACACUUUUCGCUGACAUGGCAAAGAAAGUGCAUUACACUCUCUAUAGGCGCGUGAAUGAGGAAAUUUAGACGAUUUUUAAUUUUUUUUCGUCUUCUUCUUCUUCUCAAUUACUCCAACCAUUUUUCAUACUUUUUCACCAUUUUUUCACCUUUGCAUCAACCUUAAACUCAAAUAAGUUCUUCAAAUCUCUCAAUAGUUGUAGUUCCUCUCUCCCAACACUAUUAUUUCUUAAUUUUUUUAUUAAAAAAAAAAUCAUCUUUUCAGCAUAAAAGAAAAAAAAUUAUAGACUCAAGAAUCAUCUUGAAAAUUAUUUUUUUGAUCAUCAAUGGCGAAUUCAUUGACAAUUAGUGUUGGUCAUUCAUGACGAAUUCAUUGAAAAUUAUUUUUGUUGAAAAUUAUUCACCGACGCCUCCAUGAUGAUUUAUUGUUCAGACCCCAAUUUAUGGGUAUGUUGGUUGUUGCAGUGAUGAAUUAUUGCAUUGUUGUAUUUUGAACAAAGCAAAAGAGAAAAGCAAUGAAAUUUUGCUAUUGCAAUCACAAUUUCUUAUGACCAUUAGUGUUAUUGAAGAAAAUUUAAAGACAUUUUUAGAGAUGAAAAUUGAAGAAGAUCAAGGAGGGGGGACGGGGGGAGGGGGUUGUGNNNNNNNNNNNNNNNNNNNNNNNNNNNNNNNNNNNNNNGUUGGGGGAGUUAUUUAUUUAUUUAUUGAUUCGUAUUUAAAAUUAAAAUUAAUUAUUUAAAAAUUAAUUUUUUAAAUUAUAAUUUAUUUAAAAUUAUUAUUUUAACAAGAACACCACAUGUUGUUUUUUAAUUGAUGGUAUGCCAUGUCAACAAAUGUGUAUAUUACACACUUUGUAAAAUCAGUUGAUUGUAAAAAGUGUCAAAAUAACACAAUUAAUAGUUGGUUGAGGACUUAAAAAAUAACAUCGUCCACUUGAGGUGCCAAAGUGAAAGAUCGUGCCAAAUUCAAGGGGUUGGCGAUAGAUUUGGCCUUAUAAAGAAUCUCAUGCCCACUGUGUAUACUAGCCAAAUCCUACCCCACCCCCUCCCCCUUCAGCCAGGGAAAAUAGUAGUAUAUACUAACUAUGAAGUACGUGGAGGAGGACCAACAAACAGUUUAAGGAAUUGUGCAAAGAAAGAAUUGAAUUAAACAGAUGAAACGUAUUAUUCGGCGACUUUGUAGCCCAUACAGACAUAUUACUAUCUUUCAGGGCUACAACUUUCUUGUCAAACAUUGAAUUUUUUAAAAAUAAUUAAUUUACAAUGAUUUUUAAUCAAAGACGAUCUCCCUGUUUUGUCCAACUAUUUUGUUGUUGUUUAUUCCCCAUCCGAUAGCUCAUAGGGUUAAAAUUUAUCCACACCCGAUAUAUACAUCAAGUCAAUAUGUGCAAUGCUAUGUGUUUGAAUUUAUAAUUCGUAUUGCCUAAUCCUGAUUAAUUAACAUGUAUUUUACUUCAUUUAAUCACUUAACCAUGAUAAAUUAUAUUAAUUUGAUAUAUACACCGGGUGCGAAUAAGUUUUAUCAUCUCAUAGUGCAUGUAUUCAAUUUUUUAUGAGAAAAAAACAAGUUACAGGUAAAACUGAAAUUUAGAGAGAGAAGAGAACAUAUUCGUUUUUGUUAAUUACGCUCGUUUUUUUUAUUUCUUUAAAAAAAGGUGACAGAAGAAAAUUGCGUAGUCCUAAUAAACAUAUGUUGUUUUCUCUACAAUAAGUGUAGCAGUAUUUACAUGGCAAAAAGGAAACUUAGGCAGUUAAAAUUAGUCAAUGCCAUACAAGAUUCUCUCCCUUAAUAAUUGACGAAUAAAUAGCCGUUUAACAACAACAACAGAUUCAGUAUAUUCUCACAAAGUGAUAUAAAUAGCUGUUUAAAAUAAGAAUAAAAAGAUGGUACAGCAUGGAAAUACAGAAUGAGGUGGGGAUUAUUUUGUUUUUGAGCAAGCUGGUGGUUGUUGUAUAGAUACAAUUAAAUAUUUAGUCAUCAUACAAUAUUAAGAUUUACGUAUAAACAUAAGAUUUACGUAAAUAUAUGUUUAUUUAUAUAACUGCUUUUGUAGUACUAGUAGUAGUACUUUACAAGAGACAUAGUAGGCAAUCAGAAAAAAGAGAGGCUAAAGAGGAAACUAGCACUUCAUCUCGUUUAUUUGUCGUGCUUAUUAGAAAUAAUUAAUCCAAAAUUAUAAUUAUUUUAAAAAUUUAAGACAUAAAUACUUAGUACUUCAUUAGUUUUUACUCUUACAUAACAGUUUCCUUUUCCUUUGAAUCGCAAUAAAUAUAGAGAAACAUUACUAUAAUAAAAAAAUUAGUAAUUAAAUUAAAUAAUAAUAAUAAUAACACUAAUAAACUAAUUUAAUCAUAUUAUUUAUUUAUAUUUUAGUAAUCAAGAUACAAAAAAAAUAUACUAACAAAUAAAAAUGAAGCAGAGGUAUUACUAAGCUAUAAUAGUAGGGGCAGGUCAAAAAGAUUUCCAUUGGAAAUAUCAUGAGUACUGUAUAUAUGAGUGGAUCCCAACUCCUUGAAGGAAUGAAUACUGAACUUGGCAUUCUAAAGAAAGAAAACAAAAACGUAGGAUUUCGUGGGAAGAAUCUGAUAAAUUAUUGUACUUUGUCAAAGUAUAUUUUAUUUUGACACUCCCAGUUACUUUGUACUGGCCAGCCGAAAUCUAUAAAAUUUGUACAGAAAAUAAUUAAUCGCAGGGAAUUUUUUAUCAAGUGUUUUGAUUACACAAUUGACAGUAAUCAUAUGAAGUUUCUUUUAUCUCAUAGAAAAUUGAAUCGAAAUCUUAUACUUUUAGGUCGACAAACUUUAGAAGCUCAAACAACUAAUCACAAACUAGAGUAAAUUAUUUAUCGCUUCGCUCUUACUUUCUAGUCCAGUGCUGAAAGGGUUAACGAAUACUUUUAAAUGCCUUAUUCUCAACUAGCGCAAUACUUUUAAAUGCCUUUGUUCUCAAAUCAUUCUUAAGAUUAAAGUUGGCAUGGGUAUUACCUAAUAAUAAAUACAUACAAAAAGUAAUACAAUCUUAACUGUAUUUGGUCCCACUUCCCAAUCCUCAAAAGUUAAUAGUAUAAACUAGCGCUAAAAGUCCAUUACCAAUUAUUAAACCUUCUAAAUCAAACUAACGUGGGUAAGGGGAAAAAAAUCAACUAACGUGAUCUAUGGGUUAGUUAACCCAAAAGAUUUCUAAUAAACUAACUAAAAUCCACCACAAAUACUUUUUCGUCAGAAAAGCAGAACAAAAUAGUACUACCAACUUACUAUUCGUUAUUCCUAGUGCUAGUCUGAUCUAUGAAUAGACAAAGAAUAAUGGACUUUUCCAACUUUAAUUAAUGAUAAAGAAAUCUCAUUCAUCUCGUUAUGUAGUCCAAAAUUCUUCUGCUCACUAGCGAUGGGCAUAGCACAACACUCAGAACGUCUUGACUGAAACUCGGUAUAUACUAGUGUAUAACUCAUGUAUAUAAUAAUUAAUAUAACAAUGGAGCUCUUUUGAAUAUUUGAUAUCUGUCAUACCAUGCUCACUCCUACUCAUUAUUGUGACUUUGCUCCAUUCACCAAUUAAUCACUACAUAAUCACAGAGUCACAAACUAAUAAGUCGAAGCCAGCUAACUCUCUUCUCCCUUAAGACAUCGACCUCACACCAACCACUAAAAAUCCUUCUUCUUAAUUUACCAUAACUCACUCUUCCACCGCCCAAUAUAUACUCACUAUAUUCUUGCAUUCUCCCUCACACUCUUCCACUCAAUAACUUCACUUGUCCCAUUUUUCAUUCAACAAUUACAUAAUCUUUCUAAAACUAGUUAGUACUAAUUCAUAAAAAUGGGCUAUGGCCGUCUAGGAAAACCCGACCCAGGAGAAACCUCCGGCAGGGUCAUGAUUCCCAAUCCAAAUCCCAAACCCCGCUGCUCUAAGAUCAAAUUCCUUGUAAGUUUUGCUACUGUACUUCUACUUGCCGCUGCAAUUUCAGUUGCAGUUUUGGUCGGUGUGAAGCAUAAGGCUGGAAACAGAAUAGAUAAACCAAGUCAAGCUAUGGCGCAUACCUGUAGUCGCACACUGUAUCCAUCUCUCUGUCUGAAUUCUCUGAUCAAUUUCCCUGGCGCUAACUCUGCGUCCGACAAUGAUCUCGUUCACAUUUCCGUCAAUUUAACACUCCAGCGCUUCGAUAAAGCGCUUUACGUUGCUUCCGAUAUCAACAACCUGCAAAUGAACACUCAAACACGAUCAGCUUACGACGAUUGUCUCGAAUUAUUGGAGGAAUCAAUAGACCUUUUAUCACAAUCAUUAACCUCUGUUUUCCCCGGGGAUAGCAAUUCUCCGACGGGAUCGACAAAUGACGUGAUGACGUGGCUAAGCGCGGCGUUGACAAAUCAGGACACGUGUACUGACGGCUUCGCUGAUGUUACUGGGAAUGUGAAGGAUCAUAUGUCGGAGAACC